GACCGGCGCACGGGUGAGUAACACGUAUCCAACCUGCCGUCUACUCUUGGACAGCCUUCUGAAAGGAAGAUUAAUACAAGAUGGCAUCAUGAGUCCGCAUGUUCACAUGAUUAAAGGUAUUCCGGUAGACGAUGGGGAUGCGUUCCAUUAGAUAGUAGGCGGGGUAACGGCCCACCUAGUCUUCGAUGGAUAGGGGUUCUGAGAGGAAGGUCCCCCACGUUGGAACUGAGACACGGUCCAAACUCCUACGGGAGGCAGCAUG
rnacentral:rRNA from 1 species